AGAGUAAAUGGAACAAUGUAAAGAAGUGCUGGUUGACCAUGUCCAUCCAUCAAAUUCAAAGCGAUGUAUGUGAUAAGGAGACCAGAACCAUAGGCCACCAUCGACCACAAGAAGUAACCAUCGCGUAGACUCUUCUUUGCAGACCAAUCAUAUCUUAAGGAGAAUGCAAUUAGCAGCCCAGGUAGGAGGAUAUCACCAAAUCCAAUAAUACUAUACCCACCCCAUGGAUCAAACAUUCGUGGGAUCUUAAGUAACAUGGGUACGCCAUCUUCUCCAGACUUGUCACCACGUG
rnacentral:misc_RNA from 1 species